rnacentral:rRNA from 1 species
CCUACGGGUGGCAGCAGUGAGGAAUAUUGGUCAAUGGACGCGAGUCUGAACCAGCCAAGUAGCGUGAAGGAUGACUGCCCUACGGGUUGUAAACUUCUUUUAUACAGGAAUAAAGUCAGGCACGUGUGCCUUUUUGUAAGUACUUUAUGAAUAAGGAUCGGCUAACUCCGUGCCAGCAGCCGCGGUAAUACGGAGGAUCCGAGCGUUAUCCGGAUUUAUUGGGUUUAAAGGGAGCGUAGAUGGGUUGUUAAGUCAGUGGUGAAAGUUUGCGGCUCAACCGUAAAACUGCCAUUGAUACUGGCAGUCUUGAGUACAGUUGAGGUAGGCGGAAUUUGUGGUGUAGCGGUGAAAUGCUUAGAGAUCACAAAGAACUCCGAUUGCGAAGGCAGCUUACCAAACUGCAACUGACAUUGAGGCUCGAAAGUGUGGGUAGCAAACAGGAUUAGAUACCCUAGUAGUC